CUUGGGUACUCGAGUGGCGAACGGGCGAGUAAUACGUGGGUGAUCUGCCCUGCACUUCGGGAUAAGCCUGGGAAACUGGGUCUAAUACCGGAUAGGACCACAUUUUGGAUGGUGUGGUGGAAAGUUUUUCGGUGUGGGAUGAGCUCGCGGCCUAUCAGCUUGUUGGUGGGGUAAUGGCCUACCAAGGCGUCGACGGGUAGCCGGCCUGAGAGGGUGUACGGCCACAUUGGGACUGAGAUACGGCCCAG
rnacentral:rRNA from 1 species